rnacentral:rRNA from 1 species
GGGAUGAAACAGUAGGAUAAGCUAAGCACACUGUUGGUUAUGUGUGCCCAAGCAUUGAGGCAGUCAAAGUAGGCAAAUCCGCUUUGAUAAUGCUGGGAUGUGAUGGGGAGCGAAAUUUAGUAGCGAAGUAGCUGAUUUCACACUGUCAAGAAAAGUCUCUAUCGAGGUUAAAGGUACCCGUACCGCAAACCGACACAGGUGGGUGAGGAGAGUAUCCUAAGGCCAGCGAGAGAACUGUUGUUAAGGAACUCGGCAAAAUGACCCCGUAACUUAGGGAUAAGGGGUGCCACCAUCAGGUGGCCGCAGAGAAUAGGCCCAAGCGACUGUUUACCAAAAACAUAGGUUUCUGCUAAGUCGCAAGACGAUGUAUAGGAGCUGACGCCUGCCCGGUGCUGGAAGGUUAAGGGGAUCUGUUAGAGUAAUCGAAGCAGUGAACUUAAGCCCCAGUAAACGGCGGCCGUAACUAUAACGGUCCUAAGGUAGCGAAAUUCCUUGUCGGGUAAGUUCCGACCCGCACGAAAGGCGUAACGAUUUGGGCACUGUCUCAACAACAGACUCGGUGAAAUUGUAAUUCCGGUGAAGAUGCCGGAUACCUGCGACAGGACGGAAAGACCCCAUGGAGCUUUACUGUAGCUUGACAUUGGGUCUUGGUACUACAUGUACAGGAUAGGUGGGAGGCUUUGAAACCAGGACGCCAGUUUUGGCGGAGCCAUCCUUGGGAUACCACCCUUGUAGUACUGGGACUCUAACCAUAGGCCAUGAAUCUGGUCUUGGGACACUGUCAGGUGGGCAGUUUGACU